rnacentral:rRNA from 1 species
GGGAAACCCAGUGUGACUCGUCACACUAUCAUUAACUGAAUCCAUAGGUUAAUGAGGCGAACCGGGGGAACUGAAACAUCUAAGUACCCCGAGGAAAAGAAAUCAACCGAGAUUCCCCCAGUAGCGGCGAGCGAACGGGGAGGAGCCCAGAGCCUGAAUCAGCAUGUGUGUUAGUGGAAGCGUCUGGAAAGGCGCGCGAUACAGGGUGACAGCCCCGUACACAAAAGCGCAUGUGUUGUGAGCUCGAUGAGUAGGGCGGGACACGUGGUAUCCUGUCUGAAUAUGGGGGGACCAUCCUCCAAGGCUAAAUACUCCUGACUGACCGAUAGUGAACCAGUACCGUGAGGGAAAGGCGAAAAGAACCCCGGCGAGGGGAGUGAAAAAGAACCUGAAACCGU